UACGAGGGGGGGCAAGCGUUGUUCGGAAUUAUUGGGCGUAAAGGGCGCGUAGGCGGUGCGGUAAGUCUGAUGUGAAAUCUCCGGGCUCAACUCGGAGUCUGCAUCAGAAACUGCCGUGCUUGAGUGUGGGAGAGGUGAGUGGAAUUCCCGGGUGUAGCGGUGAAAUGCGUAGAUAUCGGGAGGAACACCUGUGGCGAAAGCGGCUCACUGGACCACAACUGACGCUGAGGCGCGAAAGCUAGGGGAGCAAACAGGG
rnacentral:rRNA from 1 species